rnacentral:rRNA from 1 species
UACGUAGGGGGCUGAGCGUUGUCCGGAUUAUUGGCGUAAAGAGCGUGUAGGCGGCCAGGUAGGUCUGCUGUGGAAAACUCGAGGCUCAACCUCGAGACGUCGGCGGAAACCAUCUGGCUAGAGUCCGGAAGAGGAGAGUGGAAUUCCGUGGUGUAGCGGUGAAAUGCGCAGAUAUCAGGAGGAACACCGGUGGCGAAGGCGGGUCUCUGGGCCGAUGACUGACGUGAGGAGCGAAAGCGUGGGGAGCAACAGG